rnacentral:rRNA from 1 species
GACGAACGCUGGCGGCGUGCCUAAUACAUGCAAGUAGAACGCACAGUUUAUACCGUAGCUUGCUACACCAUAGACUGUGAGUUGCGAACGGGUGAGUAACGCGUAGGUAACCUGCCUGGUAGCGGGGGAUAACUAUUGGAAACGAUAGCUAAUACCGCAUAAUAUUAAUUAUUGCAUGAUAAUUGAUUGAAAGAUGCAACUGCAUCACUACCAGAUGGACCUGCGUUGUAUUAGCUAGUAGGUGAGGUAACGGCUCACCUAGGCGACGAUACAUAGCCGACCUGAGAGGGUGAUCGGCCACACUGGGAAUGAGACACGGCCCAGACUCCUACGGGAGGCAGCAGUAGGGAAUCUUCGGCAAUGGACGAAAGUCUGACCGAGCAACGCCGCGUGAGUGAAGAAGGGUUUCGGAUCGUAAAGAUCUGUUGUAAGAGAAGAACGGGUGUGAGAGUGGAAAGUUCACACUGUGACGGUAUCUUACCAGAAAGGGACGGCUAACUACGUG